GAUCCUGGCUCAGGACGAACGCUGGCGGCGUGCUUCAUACAUGCAAGUCGAACGAGAAGCUUACUUCGGUGAGUGGAAAGUGGCGGACGGGUGAGUAAUGUGUAGAGAAUCUGCCCUUGAGUGGGGGACAACAGCUGGAAACGGUUGCUAAUACCCCAUAUGAGAUAUUUUGCAAUAGAUAUCUUGAAAACUCCGGUGCUCAAGGAUGAGUCUGCAUCUGAUUAG
rnacentral:rRNA from 1 species